AAGGUUGACCUCGGAUCAGGUAGGAAUACCCGCUGAACUUAAGCAUAUCAAUAAGCGGAGGAAUCUCUAGA
rnacentral:rRNA from 1 species